rnacentral:rRNA from 1 species
CCGGGAUGGACUGACCUCUGGUGUACCAGUUGUUCCGCCAGGAGCAUAGCUGGGUAGCUAAGUCGGGAAGGGAUAAACGCUGAAGGCAUCUAAGCGUGAAGCCCACCUCAAGAUAAGAUUUCCCAUAGAGUAAUCUAGUAAGAUCCCUUGAAGAACACAAGGUUGAUAGGUGAGAGGUGUAAGUGUGGUAACAUAUUUAGCUGACUCAUACUAAUAGAUCGAGGGCUUGACCAA